CAAUAGAUACCCGGGUAGUCUUGGCUGUAAACGGUGCGCAUUUGCUGUAAACGGAAUCGACCCCGUUUGUGGCGAAGCUAACGCGAAUAAAUGCGCCGCCUGGGAAGUACGGUCGCAAGAUUAAAACUCAAAGAAAUUGACGGGGGCCUGCACAAGCGGUGGAGUAUGUGGCUUAAUUCGAUGCAACGCGAAGAACCUUACCUGGCCUUGACAUGCAAGUGGUAGAACCAUGAAAGUGGGACGAUCCCGCAAGGGAAGCUUGCACAGGUGCUGCAUGGCUAUCGUCAGCUCGUGUCGUGAGAUGUUGGGUUAAGUCCCGCAACGAGCGCAACCCUUGUGUCCUGUUGCCACUCAAACGAGAGUUUGAAGCACUCUGGACAGACCGCCUCGCUUAAACGAGGAGGAAGGUGGGGAUGACGUCAAGUCAGUAUGGCCCGUUACGGCCAGGGCUGCACACGUACUACAAUGCGCGGCACAAAGGGAAGCUAGACCGUCAGGUGGAGCAAAAUCCCAAAAAACCCGCGCCCAGUUCAG
rnacentral:rRNA from 1 species